AGUUGACACCUAAGUUAACAGUAUUGUGACCAGCAGAAUAAUGACCCCCCAGGAUGUCCCUGAUGCAAUUUGCGGAACUUAGGACUCUCACCCUGUUUCCUGCACAGGACCCAGUAUGGUUCUUAUUUGAAUUACGGCAAAUUUGAAGACAUUGGUGGUCAUGCAGACUUCCCAAGAGGCAAGGGGGCCUGGCCACUCCAUGCAGGACCCCAGGACUGGGAUGCCCAUAUUGUGACUCAACCUGCUCACUCCCCAGGGCAAGGAUCUACCCUUGUGGACCUUCUCCUUGCAGAUCCCACCAAGGAGCCCAGGAGCUGACCCAGGAAACCCCCAAACACCUGACAGGCCUCAGGAUCCCUUUACUGAAAGCUCCUUCAGAGGCAGACCCCAUAUGUCCUCUGACCUCGAGAAUCAACUGAACUGCAUUUCUCCCCACUCCUGACCUGGCAUAAAGGAGACAGAAUUGGAAUAAGGAGGGAA